rnacentral:rRNA from 1 species
UCUGUGCUAAGGUAGCGAAGUCAUUAGUUUUUUGAUUGAAAACUUGUAUGAAUGAGGCCUUUUUUAUGUGUAAUUUUAGUUUUUUUUAAGUUAUACUUUAAGUGAAAAUACUUAUUUGAAGUUUCUAGACGAGAAGACCCCAGAAUUUUUACAUACUACCGGUUUUGUCAUUUUAUGUUUGGUUGGGGCAAUAUUUUUUUAAAAACUUUCUUAUAUAUAUUUUUGUUAGAACUUUGUUAUUGAUAAUUUUUAGAUAUUCUGGGGUUAACACGGUAUUUUUCUUUAUAA